UCAACCUACGUCCUGGAGCAAAUAUCUGCCUUGGGUGGAGUUUUCCUAUAACUCCUUGAAGAGCUCCGCUACCGGCAUGUCUCCAUUUGAGUGCUCGUUGGGUUAUCAACCCCCCUUGUUUCCCCAACAGGAACUGGAAAUCGCUGUGCCCUCGACUAGGGCUCACAUUAGGCGGUGUCAGAGGGUGUGGAGAGCCGCUCGUGCGGCCUUAAAGAGGGCCUCUGAGAAGAUGUGCCGCAACGCCAACCGUCAUCGCAUUCCAGCACCGUCCUAUCAGCCAGGACAACAAGUUAUGCUACUCACGAAGGACCUCAGCCUCCAGGUCAAUCCGUGACGUCAUUUCCCCUUUAAACCACGUCUUUGUCAGAACAUCCGGUUUCAAUCAAUGGUGGCAGUCUGUCUUGUGUGCGUUGACGACGAAAAGAUAUCAGCUGAGCUUGUGCCGCCCAUACAGCUGCCGUCGACUUCCCUGAGACACUGGCGUCAACAGCCGGCCGUGGACGUACACUUCCGACUAUCAGGCCCAGGCCGCCCAGGACCAAACACACCCCCUCACCACUUAGGUGAGAGGCGGUGAGGGGGAAGGCAGGCGCUGAAGGUCCCAGAGGUGACGGGGAUUAUCCGGGGUCUCUCUGGAGGGGUCAUUAGAGGCAGCUCUGAUUAGCUCUGAAGCUGAAACACACACACAAACACACAAACAUUCCUCAUUCUUUCCUGGCUGGUUGCCUUACUUUUGCUUGAGCAAGAUGGACAACGUGACACCUCAUCGUGUGUUUCAGAUCACAUAUUUAGAGCUGUACCUGACAAUGAAUAGUUAUUAGCCAUCAAAUGGAGAGAGCAUUUAAAUCCUCUCCAUUCUUAUUGUGUUACUUUGCCCACUAGAGGGCAGUGUCAACGACUAAAAUAUCAACUAAAACACCAAUUCCUUCAAUUAGAUCAGUGGUUCUCAACCUUUUUUCAGUGAUGUACACCCUGUGAACAUUUUUUUAGUUCAAGUACCCCUAAUCAGAGCAAAGCAUUUUUGGUUGAAAAAAGAGACUAUGUCAUCAAUUUCGGAUUUAUUAAAUUGAAUAACAGUGCAAAAUAUUGCUCAUUUGUAGUGGUUUUUCUUGAACUAUUUGGAAAAAAAGGAUAUAAAAAUAACUAAAAACAUGUUGAAAAAUAAACAAGUGAUUCAAUUAUAAAUAAAGAUUUCUACACACAGAAGUAAUCAUCAACUUAAAGUGCCCUCUUUUGGGAUUGUAAUAGAGAUCCAUCAGGAUUCAUGAACUUAAUUCUAAAUAUUUCUUCACAAGAAAAAGAAAUCUUUAACAUCAAUAUUUAUGGAACAUGUCCACAAAAAUGUUUGCUGUCAACGCUGAAUAUUGCGUUGUUGCAUUUCUUUUCACAGUUUAUGAACUUACAUUCAUAUUUUGUUGAAGUAUUAUUCAAUAAACAUAUUAUAAAGGUUUUUUAAAUUUUUGCUAUUUUUAGAAUAUUUUUGAAAAAUCUUACGUUACCCUGGGCAUACCUUCAAGUACCCCAGGGGUACGCCUACCCCCAUUUGAGAACCACUGAAUUAGAUCAUCCAUCCAUCCGGGCAGCACAGUGGAACAGGGGUUAGUGCAUGUGCCUCGUGCAUGUGCCUCACAAUACGGUCCUGAGUAGUCCUGGGUUCAAUCCCGGUAUCUUUCUGUGUGGAGUUUGCAUGUACUCCCCGUGACUGCGUGGGGUCCCUCUGGGUACUCCGGCUUCCUCCAAAGACAUGCACCUGGGGAUAGGUUGAUUGGCAACACUAAACUGGCCCUAGUGUGUGAAUGUGAGUGUGAAUGUUGUCUGUCUAUCUGUGUUGGCCCUGCGAUGGGGUGAUGACUUGUCCAGGGUGUACCCCGCUUUCCGCCCGAAUGCAGUUGAGAUAGGCUCCAGCACCCGCCCCCCGCUACCCCGAAAGGGACAAGCGGUAAAAACAUGGAUGGAUGGAUAGAUAAUCCAUCCAUCGAUUUUCUACCCAUUGUCCUUUAUGGGGUCGCAGUGAUUCUCAAACUUUUUAACGUCAUGUACCACCUCAGAAAAUGCGUGGCUCUCCAAGUACCACCAUAAUGACCAACAUUUAAAUACAGUAGCCUAGUGGGCUUAAGUAUUCAUUAAAUCAAGGCAGAGGUUUUAGUUAAGAAGUAUAUUUAACAUGUUUGGCCAAUCUAACAUUGCACACUGUGACGGGUGUCCCGUCUUUCUGGCUUCGGGACUGGCUGUCCUCUGCUUCUCCCGUGCCUUGUCCGCUGCUGGGAACAUCUGUAUUUGACCUGCGCUUGCCUCUGAGGGUCCUGUCGGUUUGACUGCGUGGAGCGGGUAAUUCCUUGUUCCUUGGGCACCGCAUCUGCUGUUUUGGGUUUGGACUCUGUGUCGCUGGGGCUGUACUUUGGCUCCCGCAAACAAUAGCAGACAAAUAUAUUGUACUUACCAAACGUACAUUCAUUGAUACGUACGCUCACACAUUGGUACUGAGCCACAUACAGUACAGGCCAAAAGUCUGGACACGCCUUCUCAUUUCAAUGUGGUUUCUUUAUUUUCACGACUAUUUACAUUGUAGAUUGUCAGUGAAAGCAUCAAAACUAUGACACCUGUGAAGUGAAAACACUUUUACGUGACUAACUCUUGAAGUUUCUCGAGAGAAUGCCAAGAGUGUGCAAAACAGUAAUCAGAGCAAAGAGUGACUAUUUUAAAAAAACUAGAAUAUAAAACAUGUUUUCAGUUAUAAAUCAACAUGUGUUCAUUCAUAAUUGUGAUGCCUUCAGUGACAAUCUACAAUGUAAAUAGUCAUGAAAAUAAAGAAAACAAAUUGAAUGAGGUGUUUUCAAACUUUUGACCUGUACUGUACUUAGGUACAUAGCCUCCCACAUACAUACACAAAUACAAUACAAACACACACACACGGUACAUUCAUCCACACGCACAUUCACUGUACAAACAUACAUAUACACAUACUCUACAUAUACAAGUACAUAUAAAUACAUACAUACACUUGUGCAUAUAAUCACACGUCAUCAAAAAUAUAUUAACGUUGUUCCCCUUGGAUAAACUGGGUAAAACACGACACUGACAAAGCUAAACCUAUUGAUACUAUAACAAUCUACAAGGUUAUUACAAUUUGCUUCUCUUUCUUCCCCUCCAUUUAUCUGCUUUCUUUUGAAAUUCAAGUUAUUACAUAUAUGUAUUGUUGCAUUUGAAACAAUUGUAGUGUUGAUAAUAAAGGUAAUUAUUGUUAUUCAUUAUCAAUAGUUCUAUUUAUAUUGGUAUUUUUAUUGCUCCAUUUGUAGUGCAAUAAUGUUGAUUGUCAUUUCUGUGUUAGUAAUAAUUACUUCACUAACUGCUUCUUUGCUAUCAAUUUUUCGUAUCAUAUUCGUACAUAUUUUAUUUGCUGAUGCUGUUCUGUUGUUGUUGUCUCACUGUCUUAUCCCCCUCUGGUCCCCGCAAUUUCCCACUGUCUUCCUUUUUUCCUGUAUCUAUCCCCUCCUGCUCCAAAUAAUGUUAUAGAUCCAUUCAAUAAAGUCAAAUACAAAUAAGACAACAAGAGAAGUAUCCCACUCUUCUCUUUUGUAAAGUAAAUAUGGGCAGCUACAUCAACAACAUGACUUGCCAGAACAAAAAAAUAAAUUAAUAAAACACUGUACUUUAA